rnacentral:rRNA from 1 species
AAUGAACGUUGGCGGCGUGGAUUAGGCAUGCAAGUCGAGCGAGAACCCCGCAAGGGGGGACAGCGGCGCAAGGGACAGUAAUGUGUAGAUUAUCUGCCCUCGGGUCCGGGAUAGCCGCGGGAAACUGCGGGUAAUACCGGAUAACAUCUCCGGAUCAAAGGUGUGAUUCCGCCCGAGGAUGAGUCUACAUCCUAUUAGCUAGUUGGCAGGGUAAUGGCCUACCAAGGCGAUGAUGGGUAGCGGGUGUGAGAGCACGACCCGCGUCAUUGGGACUGAGACACUGCCCAGACACCUACGGGUGGCUGCAGUCGAGAAUCUUCGGCAAUGGGCGCAAGCCUGACCGAGCGACGCCGCGUGUGGGAUGAAGGCCUUCGGGUUGUAAACCACUGUCAGAGGGGAUGAAAUGCAGGUGGGUUCUCCCACUUGUUUGACAUAGCCUCAGAGGAAGGACGGGCUAAGUUCGUGCCAGCAGCCGCUGUAAAAC